rnacentral:rRNA from 1 species
UACGGGGGGCUGCAGUGGGGAAUAUUGGACAAUGGGCGAAAGCCUGAUCCAGCCAUGCCGCGUGUGUGAAGAAGGCCUUCGGGUUGUAAAGCACUUUCAGUGGGGAAGAAAGCCUUGGGGCUAAUACCCUCGAGGAAGGACAUCACCCACAGAAGAAGCACCGGCUAACUCCGUGCCAGCAGCCGCGGUAAUACGGAGGGUGCGAGCGUUAAUCGGAAUUACUGGGCGUAAAGCGCGCGUAGGCGGUCUGAUAAGCCGGUUGUGAAAGCCCCGGGCUCAACCUGGGAACGGCAUCCGGAACUGUCAGGCUAGAGUGCAGGAGAGGAAGGUAGAAUUCCCGGUGUAGCGGUGAAAUGCGUAGAGAUCGGGAGGAAUACCAGUGGCGAAGGCGGCCUUCUGGACUGACACUGACGCUGAGGUGCGAAAGCGUGGGUAGCAAACAGGAUUAGAUACCCGGGUAGUC